UAUCUGUUAGCAUUUUGACCAGACAGUUUUGUUUGUUUGUUCAUUUGCUUGAGAUGUAAUCUCACUAUGUUACCCCUGGCUGACCUGAAACCCACUGUGUAGACUAAGCUGGCCUUGAACCCAAAGAGAUCUGUUUGUCUUUGCCUCCCAAGUGCUGAAAGGCAUCUAUCACCAUGCCUGGCUUUAAUUAGUAAUUUUUAAAGUAUUAUUAAGAUUCAGUGAUAACUGGUGUGUUUGGAGAAAACUUGACAUGCUGUUUUUGCAUGUAGGAUAAUGUUGAGCCUUUGAGGGUGUGAGUAACAGGAAAAUAGAGAGCUAAGUGUGGUGUGGUGCUCCUGUAAUCUUGGCAUUUGGGAGGCUGAGACCUCAGGAUCAGAAGUUUGAAGACAGCUUUGACUAUAAAGCAUUUUGAGGCCUGAUUGAGCUACAUAAGACCUUGUCUUAACAACAAAACAAAAAUGCAAUAAAAAGACACAACAUUUAUGUGGAUGGCCUUAGUUUAUCAUUGAACAAAUCACAUCUUUUGCAGUCUCACAUACUUUAUAGAAAUAAAGCUUUUCACAUAAGCCAGUAAGUAUUUCACAAGAUGUUCUUUACCAAAUAUUUGAACACCGUGUUGCGGUGUGGGUUUUUUAGUUUUUAGAGUGUGUGGAAAUAGGAUUCUUGCUCUCAAAUACACAUAGUUAAAAGAAGCCAUAUGCCUGUUUGGGAAGCAGGAAGAUGAAACAGCAGUACGCCUGUUACUGUCUUAAAAAAUACAAAGCUUUUCAAGAUGCAAAGGGUUUUUUUGUUUUUGUUUUUUUAAGCCAUCAGUGUAGUCACAGAUAGAGCCGCUCAUGCAUCAGCUUGUGGUCUGUGACUUAUAAACCCCUUCAGCACGCUCUACAGUCUCUCGAGAACAGUCUGCCCAAGGGAAGUUACUCUAUCUGAUUUUCCUAGAAGAAAAAUUGAGGUGACUCUAACAAAACCAACCAAACAAAUUAAACUAAAAGCAAACCUUCAUGACAAAAAACUUGAGUAGUUAUCAUUUCAUAGUAAAGAACAUGUAUAUUUGGGUUUCUGAAUAACCACUUCUUUUGAAAAUGUUUCCUAAUUAAAACCAGAUGAGAGUAGCAAAGGAGGCAUUUAGGUCACUAAAAGACAGAUGUGCUUCAUGAAAUUUGCAGAAUUCAUCAAUACCUAUAACUGAUUUAUAAUUGCAUUUGGUCUUAACACAUACCAAUGUGGAUCUAACAGGCACAGUAAGAGUAGAAUAAAACACUUAAGGUGAAAGGGUUAAUUGGCCUUGCACAGUUCAAUUUGCCACUGUAGUGGUCCUUUCUGUUGUCUGUGUCAACAGAGUUGCUAAGUACUUUCCCACUAAGCUGCCACUCUUAUUUAUACAGUUGAACCACCAAUGAGGAAUGGGUCAGUUUACCAGUUGUCAGGCCUUUUCUUACUGCCUUUUCAGACCACUUCAUGCUGUUUUACUCCAGCUGUUGCUACACACCUCCCUGAGCUCUCCUUAGUCACAUGACUCCCCCCCCCCCUUUUUAACAAAUUCCUUUUUUUUUUUUUUCAAGAUUUAUUUAUCUUAUGUAUACGAGUACAUAGCUGUCUUCAGACACACCAGAAGAGGGCAUCAGAUCCCAUUACAGAUGGUUGUGAGCCACCAUGUGGUUGCUGGGAACUGAACUCAGGAGCUCUAGAGAAGCAGUCAGUGCUCUUAACCACUGAGCUAUUUCUCCAGCCCUCUCUCUCUUUUUUUAACAGGGUCUCCCUUACUCUUACUAGUUGGUAUGAGCAUAUGGAAUGCAUACUUGGUUCAACUACUCGGUAUUUUCUUCUCACUCUGCUCCCUUUUACCAAAUCAUAUCUC
rnacentral:lncRNA from 1 species